rnacentral:rRNA from 1 species
CCUACGGGAGGCAGCAGUGAGGAAUAUUGGUCAAUGGCCGGAAGGCUGAACCAGCCAUGCCGCGUGAAGGUCAGUGCCCUAUGGGCGUUAAACUUCUUUUGUGCGGGAGCAAUAAUGGUCACGUGUGGCCAGACGAGAGUACCGUACGAAUAAGCAUCGGCUAACUCCGUGCCAGCAGCCGCGGUAAUACGGGGGAAGCAAGCGUUAUCCGGAUUUAUUGGGUUUAAAGGGUGCGUAGGCUGUGAGGUAAGUCAGCGGUGAAAUGCCCCCGCUCAACGGGGUGAAGUGCCAUUGAUACUGCCUGGCUGGAAUGCGGAUGCCGUGGGAGGAAUGUGUGGUGUAGCGGUGAAAUGCAUAGAUAUCACACAGAACACCGAUUGCGAAGGCAUCUCACGAAUCCGCGAUUGACGCUGAUGCACGAAAGUGUGGGUAUCAAACAGGAUUAGAUACCCCUGUAGUC